rnacentral:sRNA from 1 species
ACCGGCACGGACGCCGGCAAAGCCGUAGGUUUCCGAGUUUGCGAAGCAAACUCGAGUUGGGAAUUGCACACGGAAGUGCAAUUCCCAUACCGGC